UUAGACUACUUCCUGUUGACUAGGGGUACC
rnacentral:piRNA from 1 species